UCGCUAAAGCAACGCAUAUACUGAAAUUGCAAUGAUACAGAGAAGAUUGGUAUAGCCCCUAUGCAAGGAUGACAUGCAAAUUCCGGAAGCAUCCCAUACUAAC